rnacentral:rRNA from 1 species
UACGGGGGGGGCUAGCGUUGUUCGGAAUUACUGGGCGUAAAGGGCGCGUAGGCGGCCUACUAAGUCGGACGUGAAAUCCCUCGGCUCAACCGGGGAACUGCGUCCGAUACUGGUGGGCUCGAAUCCGGGAGAGGGAUGUGGAAUUCCAGGUGUAGCGGUGAAAUGCGUAGAUAUCUGGAGGAACACCGGUGGCGAAGGCGGCACCCUGGACCGGUAUUGACGCUGAUGCGCGAAAGCCAGGGGAGCAAACGGG